UUGGUCAAGAUUGGCAGCACACAUACUAAAAUUGGAAUGAGACAGAGAAGAUUAGCAUGGCCCCU
rnacentral:snRNA from 1 species